UACAGAGGGUGCAAGCGUUGCUCGGAAUUAUUGGGCGUAAAGGGUAGGUAGGUGGUCUCGUUUGUCUAAGGUGAAAUCCCCGGGCUUAACCUGGGAAGUGCCUCGGAAACGGCGAGACUGGAGUCCUGGAGAGGUUCGUGGAAUUCCCGGUGUAGCGGUGAAAUGCGUAGAGAUCGGGAGGAAUACCAGAGGCGAAGGCGACGAACUGGGCAGGUACUGACACUCAACUACGAAAGCGUGGGGAUCAAACAGG
rnacentral:rRNA from 1 species